UACGUAGGGUGCGAGCGUUAAUCGGAAUUACUGGGCGUAAAGCGUGCGCAGGCGGUUCGUUGUGUCUGAUGUGAAAUCCCCAGGCUUAACCUGGGAACUGCGUGUGAUACUGGAUGGCUUGAAUCCGGGAGAGGGAUGCGGAAUUCCAGGUGUAGCGGUGAAAUGCGUAGAUAUCUGGAGGAACACCGGUGGCGAAGGCGGCAUCCUGGACCGGUAUUGACGCUGAUGAGCGAAAGCCAGGGGAGCAAACGGG
rnacentral:rRNA from 1 species